rnacentral:rRNA from 1 species
GAUGAACGCUAGCUACAGGCUUAACACAUGCAAGUCGAGGGGCUGCAUGAGGGUUAGCAAUAACUCUUGAUGGCGACCGGCGCAAGGGUGCGUAACGCGUGAGCAACUUGCCCGUUUCUGGGGAAUAACCGGUGGAAAACGCCGACUAAUACCCCCAUAGCAUCAACUUAGGGCAUCCUUAGUUGAUUAAAGAAUUUCGGAAACGGAUAGGCUCGCGUGACAUUAGCUAGAUGGCGGGGUAACGGCCCACCAUGGCUACGAUGUCUAGGGGUUCUGAGAGGAAGGUCCCCCACACUGGAACUGAGACACGGUCCAGACUCCUACGGGAGGCAGCAGUGAGGAAUAUUGGUCAAUGGGCGGAAGCCUGAACCAGCCAAGUCGCGUGAAGGAUGAAGGUUCUAUGGAUUGUAAACUUCUUUUGUCUGAGGGUAAAAAAGCGGACGUGUCCGUUCUUGCAAGUAUCAGACGAAUAAGCAUCGGCUAACUCCGUG